GGGCCCGCACAAGCGGUGGAGCAUGUGGUUCAAUUCGACGCAACGCGAAGAACCUUACCUGGGCUCGAAAUGUAGUGGACCGGGGUAGAAAUAUCCCUUUCCGCAAGGACUGCUAUAUAGGUGCUGCAUGGCUGUCGUCAGCUCGUGUCGUGAGAUGUUGGGUUAAGUCCCGCAACGAGCGCAACCCUUAUCUUUAGUUGCCAUCAGGUCAAGCUGGGCACUCUAACGAAACCGCGUAGGAUAACUACGAGGAAGGUGGGGAUGACGUCAAGUCCUCAUGGCCUUUAUGUCCAGGGCUACACACGUGCUACAAUGCGCGAUACAAAACGUCGCAAACCCGCGAGGGGGAGCUAAUCGGAAAAAGUCGCGCUCAGUUCGGAUUGGAGUCUGCAAUUCGACUCCAUGAAGCUGGAAUCGCUAGUAAUCGCGGAUCAGAACGCCGCGGUGAAUACGUUCCCGGGCCUU
rnacentral:rRNA from 1 species